CUUUGUCACUGCUCCAUGCUCUGUGAUGCAGGCCUGGAACAUUCUAGAAUACAGCACACAUCUCAGUGCCCUGUUGUCUGAGGCAGUAGUGAGCUUCAGGCCUCAGAUGAUGGACACCUAUCUCCUUUCUGAGGAGAGUGAGUGAGCCACGGGUCAUCAAUUCCAUCAUUUACUUCCUGUGUGUGGCUAGGCUCCUCCUUCUGUCAUCCUUCUUCCAAAACGGAGCCAUUUGCUACCAGUCUUCAGAAUAAAGGAGACAUCAACCAGAGCUUGGAGUUCUCCGUGGACACUGAGCCCAUGUAGUAAAGGUAGGAGGGCUCCCGGCGUGGUGUAUAACUCUGCCAUGGUAUAAAGCACUUUCCUUGUUCACUUCAGUCUUCAGAAGCGAAGAUUCUAUUAGGGAAUCUAAAAACUUAUAUCCCAUGCCUUUUCUGGGAAAGUUACUACAGAUGUGCUUCAGAAAAAUGAUGAAGAAAAUGAAGAGAAGAGCCUCGAGGACUGUGAGGAAACAAAUUUCUGGUGUUUAAGCGGCCCAGUCUGUGACACUUUGUUAUGGCGGCCCGAGCAGACUAAUACAACUGGGAAAGAGGUCACAGGUACAAGGGUAGAGGAGAUUAGAGGAGUGAGAACACAGCAGGGGACAAGACCAGAGUAAGAGACUGAUGAUGGGGCUAAUACAAAAUGAAGUGACCAGGUUUAAGGACCUGAAGGAAAGCAGCAACGAUGGUGACGGAGAGAAAGAGACGGAUGUGAGAGACACUGUCAACAAAUCAAAUGGGAUGUGUAAGAGGGUGGAUGUAUUGAAUGAGCAUGAUGGUUGGGACACAGAGGAGUCCCGUUACAUCAAGAGAUGGAUAACAGUCAGUGCACAAGUAGUGCUUGGACUUCCCCAAGAGGCUGGAGAGCAGAGCAGUCCCAGAAAUAACUUGGUACCCUGCUCGGCACCACCAGAGGUAUUCACCUGCAUUCCUGAUUCAGCUCACUACCCAAAGAUCAUCCAGGGGUUGGUGGGGCAGGCAGAAGGCUCACCUUCCAAACUGCCGCAGUACCCACCCCUGUGAUGGGGAACAUUCCACCACCUAAGGAAGAACCAAGGGGUCAAAAUUAGUGGUCAUCCUCACAGAAGUGAAAUUCUGCAUUUCACUUUCAUGUUUCAUUGUGUUUUAUUUUUUAAUGAAUCAAAAGCUAUCUGUAUAUCUAUAACAAUUAUCAUUUUGUCCAGCAAUCCCAUUUCUAGGAAUCUAUCCCAAAGAUACAUUGGCAAAAAUAAGAAAAGAUAUGUGCAUAUAACUAUUUGCUGCAGUGUUGUAAUUAUAAUAGCAGAAAACCUGAAAAAUGUAAAUGCCCCAUCAAUAGAAAAGUGAGGGAAUAACAAAUGGUAUAUCCACACAGUGGAGUGUUAUACACCUGUCAAAAACAUAUGGUAUAAGUAAGUAGUUACCACAAUAAAUAAGUAAAAAUUUCAAUGUGGUUAAGUUUGUAUAGAUUCUAAAAAGUGGUGGAUAUAAAGAUAUGCAUAUAUAUGCAAAUGCAUAUUUUAAAAUGGAAGGAUGAACCAUAAAACUUUUUAAAUGGUUACCUAUAGACAGAAGGGAACAGAAGGUAUAAAAAUCUAGGCUUCUAGGGGCCAGUCAGGGGUAGUGGUUAAGUUCACGUGCUCCACUUCAGUGGCCUGGGGUUUGCUGGUUCAGAUCCCGGGUGCGGACCAACACUCCGCUUAUCAAGCCGUGCUGUGGUAGGCAUCUCACAUAUAAAGUAGAGGAAAAUGGGCACAGUCUUUCUCAGCAAAAAGAGAAGGAUUGGUGGUAGAUAUUAGCUCGGGGCUAAUCUUCCCCCCAAAAAAUCUAGGCUUCUACCUAGUUUUGAGGAUUUGACUUGAAACAUAAUCUACGUACAGAAUUUACAUAAUUACAAAAUGAAGUUAAAUUUUAAAAAUUCAAUCCCUAAAAUCAAAAGCAAAAUUAAACAAAUGAACGUAUAUGUAUAUCUUUUGGUAGCUUGAUCUUGAGAGAAGAUAUUCUAAGUGAUCUAAACUAAUUACCGGUACGUCCCUAGUAAGAUAUACCUUAAAGACAGAAAGACUUGCAAAAUUCUUAAAUUGCUUUCAGUAGUCACAUUGUUGAUGGGAGUAUUGGUAUUAUUACCCAACAGACUCUGAGUCUGUGUAUUGUAAAAAAAAGUGGAGGGAAGGGGUACUCAUGAUGGUGUCAUUGAGAAUCAGAUUGUUUGGUAUGGAGAAAAGGAGACACAGAUGUUAGAUCAGUGAGGUUUACUCUGUAAUCCUAAAUCUGAAAUGAUGGUAACAGCGUGAACUUAUAAGAUAUUUUACUUUUGGGUUUUUUAAUUCUUUCACUUUUUAUUUUGAAAUAAUUAUAGAUUCACAGGAAGUUGCAAAAAUAGAAAGGUCUUAUGAACCUUCACCCAGUUUCCCCUAAUGGUUACUUGCUAAAUAACUAUAGUACAAUGUCAAAACCAGGAAACUGACAUUGGCACAGUAUGUGUAUAGUUCUAUGUCAUUUUAUCAUGUGCAUGAAUUUUUGUAGCCACCACUACAAGAAAGGUACAGAAUUAUUCUAUCACCACAAAGAUCUCCCUCAUGCUAACCCUUCAUAAUCAUACCCACCUCCUGCCACUCAUCAUUCCUAACCUCUAGCAACCACUAAUCUGUUUUCCAUGUCUAUAAUUUUGUCAUUUCAAGAAUGUUAUAUACAUGGAAUCAUACAGUAUGUGACCCUUUGAGAUUGUUUUUGUUCAUUCAGCAUAAUGCCCUUGAGAUCCAUCAAAAUUGUAUCAAUAGUUUGCUCUAUUCCAUGGCCUGGAUGUACCCCAAUUUGUUUAUCCAUUCACUCACUGAAAGAUAUUUUGGUUGUUUCCUGUUUUGGGCUAUGACAAAUAAAGCUGCUGUGAACAUUCA
rnacentral:lncRNA from 1 species